GUGAGGAAUAUUGGUCAAUGGUCGGAAGACUGAACCAGCCAUGCCGCGUGCAGGAAGACGGUCCUAUGGAUUGUAAACUGCUUUUAUUCGGGGAUAAACCUCCUUACGUGUAGGGAGCUGAAGGUACCGAAAGAAUAAGCACCGGCUAACUCCGUGCCAGCAGCCGCGGUAAUACGGAGGGUGCAAGCGUUAUCCGGAAUCAUUUGGUUUAAAGGGUCCGCAGGCGGCAUUGUAAGUCAGUGGUGAAAUCCGGCAGCUCAACUGUCGGAAUGCCAUUGAUACUGCAGUCAUUGAAUUCGAUUGGAGUGGGCGGAAUAUGUCAUGUAGCGGUGAAAUGCUUAGGUAUGACAUAGAACACCGAUAGCGAAGGCAGCUCACUAAGUCUGAAUUGACGCUCAUGGACGAAUGCGCGGGUAGCAAACAGGAUUAGAAACCCGGGUAGUCC
rnacentral:rRNA from 1 species